CCCUUAGAUGUUCUGGGCUGCACGCGCGCUACACUGAAGCGUUCAACGAGUAUUCACCUUGCCCGGGAGGGUUGGGUAAUCUUUUGAAAACGCUUCGUGAUGGGGAUAGAUUAUUGCAAUUAUUAAUCUUCAACGAGGAAUUCCUAGUAAGCGCGAGUCAUCAGCUCGUGCUGAUUACGUCCCUGUCCUUUGUACACACCGCCCGUCGCUACUACCGAUUGGAUCAUUUGGUGAGGCCCGCGGACUGUUGUGCUUUCUUCCUCGUGUUGAUUGCACUUCUUGGGAAGCGGUACGAACCUGAUGAUCUAGAGGAAGUAAAAGUCGUAACA
rnacentral:rRNA from 1 species